rnacentral:rRNA from 1 species
UACGUAGGGGGCAAGCGUUGUCCGGAUUUAUUGGGCGUAAAGCGCGCGCAGGCGGUGCGGUAAGUCUGUCGUGAAAUCUCCCGGCUCAACUGGGAGGGUGCGGUGGAGACUGCCGGACUGGAGGCACUCAGAGGCCGGUGGAAUUCCCGGUGUAGUGGUGAAAUGCGUAGAGAUCGGGAGGAACACCAGUGGCGAAGGCGGCCGGCUGGGGGUGACCUGACGCUGAGGCGCGAAAGCGUGGGGAGCGAACCGG